ACGGCUCAGUAACACGUAGCUAAUCUAACCUUUGGUCAAGGAUACCCUCGGGAAACUGAGGUUAAUACUUGAUACGAGAUAUACCCUGGAAUGAUGUAUCUCUGAAAUUCGUGCCAAAGGAUGAGGCUGCGGCGGAUUAGGUAGUUGGCGGGGUAACUGCCCACCAAGCCGACGAUCCGUAAGGGCUCUUAGCGGAGAGGCCCUGAGAGGGAAUCUGAGACACUAUUCCCAGCCCUACGGGGUGCAGCAGUUAAGAAUCUUCUGCAAUGCGCGAAAGCGUGACAGAGCGAGCCAGAGUGCUUUUCAAUUUGAAAAGCUUUUGCUAAGUGUAAAAAGCUUGGCGAAUAAGGACUGGGUAAGACGGGUGCCAGCCGCCGCGGUAAUACCCGCGGUCCAAGUCGCAGCCAUUAUUAUUGGGUCUAAAAUAUCCGUAGCUUGCUUGAUGAGUUCCUUGUGAAAUCUCAAAUCUUAAAUUUGAGGCGUGCAGGGAGUACUAUCAAGCUAGAGACUGGAAGACGUAACGAGUACGAUUGAGGUAAUGGUAAAAUAUGUUAAUCUCAGUCGGACUAACAAUAGCGAAGGCACGUUACGAGGACAGUUCUGACAGUAAGGGAUGAAGGCUAGGGGCGCAAAGUGGAUUAGAUACCCAUGUAGUCCUAGCAGUAAACACUGCACACUAAACAUCAGUACCUCCUCGAGAGGUAUUGGUGCUGAAGGGAAGCCGAAGAGUGUGCUACCUGGGAAGUAUAGCCGCAAGGCCGAAACUUAAAGGAAUUGGCGGGGGAGCAC
rnacentral:rRNA from 1 species